rnacentral:misc_RNA from 1 species
CAACCCUUAAGCUCAGCUUAGUGUUGGGAAUCUACUUUUGUGGUGCUACCCUGUAGCUACCCUGUAGUUCCUCAAAACCAACGGCGGAGUUAUAGUUACCUCUGAGCGCAGUAAUUUUUAUCACGCUUUGGAAGGUGCUGUAAUCCCAGCCGCUAAACCCCCAAUUUUUUAAUGG